rnacentral:RNase_P_RNA from 1 species
UAAGACAGACGAUCGCCGCCGGUCUGUACCGGGGGAGGAAAGUCCGGGCUUCACAGGGCAGGAUGCCGGAUAACGUCCGGUGGAGGUGACUCCAAGGCCAGUGCAACAGAAAUAUACCGCCGUGAAUCAUUAAGUUCACGGUAAGGGUGGAAAGGCAGCUUAAGAGACUACCGUCCGGCCGGUAACGGUCGGAGCCAUGUAAACCCCAUCCGAAGCAAGACCAAAAAGAAAGCCAUAGGCUUGCCCGGCCUGCUUUCAGGUAGGUCGCUUGAGACGACUGGCAACAGUCGUACUAGAUAGAUGAUCGUCCCGGAAUCCGAAGGAUUCUAUUGACAUAACCCGGCUUAUCGUUUUGCUU